rnacentral:rRNA from 1 species
GAUGAACGCUGGCGGCGUGCUUAACACAUGCAAGUCGAGCGAUGAAGUUUCCUUCGGGAAACGGAUUAGCGGCGGACGGGUGAGUAACACGUGGGUAACCUGCCUCAUAGAGUGGAAUAGCCUUCCGAAAGGAAGAUUAAUACCGCAUGACGUUGAAAGAUGGCAUCAUCAUUCAACCAAAGGAGCAAUCCACUAUGAGAUGGACCCGCGGCGCAUUAGCUAGUUGGUGAGGUAACGGCCCACCAAGGCAACGAUCGGUAGCCGGACUGAGAGGUUGAACGGCCACAUUGGGACUGAGACACGGCCCAG